CGCGUAGGCGGUCUCUUAAGUCGGAUGUGAAAGCCCGGGGCUUAACCCCGGAAGUGCAUUCGAAACUAAGGGACUUGAGUAUGGGAGAGGGAAGUGGAAUUCCUGGUGUAGCGGCGAAAUGCGUAGAUAUCAGGAGGAACACCGGUGGCGAAGGCGACUUCCUGGACCAAUACUGACGCUGAGGCGCGAAGGCGUGGGGAGCAAACA
rnacentral:rRNA from 1 species